ensembl:lncRNA
GGACAGGUUCUGUCGGGGGUGACACCAGGAGAGAGGGACAGGUUCUGUCGGGGGUGACACCAGGAGAGAGGGACAGGUUCUGUCGGGGGUGACUAGGAGAAAGGGACAGGUUCUGUUGGGGGUGACUAGGAGAAAGGGACAGGUUCUGUUGGGGGUGACACGAGGAGAUAGGGACAGGUUCUGUUGGGGGUGACACGAAGAGAUAGGGACAGGUUCUGUCGGGGGUGACACCAGGAGAGAGGUACAGGUUCUGUUGGGGGUGACACCAGGACACUGGGACAGGUUCUGUCGGGUGACACCAGGACACAGGGACAGGUUCUGUUGGGGGUGACACCAGGAGGAGGGACAGGUUCUGUUGGGGGUGACACCAGGAGGAGGGACAGGUUCUGUCAGGGGUGACACCAGGAGAGAGGGACCAGUUCUGUCGGGGGUGACACCAGGAGAGAGGGACAGGUUCUGUUGGGAGGACAGCGCUGAUCGUGUGUCAGCAUCAGGAAAGGAGAAAGGCAGAGGGAGAGCAUUGAGAAGACUGUUCACACCAGAGUACUUACUCAUUUUUAUUUACUGCUAUAGGAUAAGCAACCAGGUAGUGUUCAUAACAGUUAGCUUUACCAAAAUUAAAGUUCAAAUUAUAUGUUUAAAAUAUUGUAGCAGAAGAUAUAUGUUUAUACUGGACUAUUUUUACACCUUCUAAUAUCCUGUCCCAAGUUUGGGCACAGAUGGUGGAGUUGGGCUGGCAUCAUGUCCUGUGGCCGCCCCACUUGCCUGUCGGUGCCGCUCCAUCCCAGACCCCAGGGGUGCCAGCUCAGGGCCAACCACAGCAGCCCUGUGUGGGCGUCACCUCCUACCCCGGCCCCCGCCCUGGGCUGCUGUGGCUGCCUGCUUUUGUGAAUGGUGUUUUGUUGGCACAGGGCCUGUCCUGUGUGUUCACACAUGCCUGUGGCUCCUUCUGCUGUACAACUGGAGUGGGGAGGAGUUGAGAUGGAGACGCCUUGGCCCUGGACACUUAUCUGUCCCUCUACUGGCCCAGCUCAAUCUCCUUCUGUGGGCAAUCACGUGUGCACUGGCCACCCUCCCACCCCACACCACACACCAUGAGGGGAUGGCACAGGGGGACGAUGAGCCUGGACGGUGAUGUUAUCAAUAGGCCAGAACAUCCUUCAAACACUGAACCUGCAUCUUUCCUCCUCUUACUACUGAACACUUUGUGAGCUCUGGUGGUCCAGGGUGUGGCAUUUGUCCCCUGGCCUGUGAUGGGGAAUAAUGGGCACAGCGAGAUGCUUGACUUCUUUCUUUUGACCUCUUAAAAAACUAAACUAAGCCAAACCACAAAGGAAAUCUGCACAACUUAAGAGAAACUUGAAAGGGAUCGUGUAACUACUAGUUUGUACUAAGUUUUUUUCAAGAAAGGGAAACAAAUUUAUAUAUAUAUAUGUGCAAUAUAUUUUUACACUGUGUGAUUAACAUAAGGGAGUACUGAGCGUAUCACUUUAUCAGUGUGACAGGUGAUGUCCAUGUCAUGGCUGUUCUGACUCUGAAAGGCACUUCUGCCAACGUCUAAACCGCACUCACUGGGAACGUCUGUGGGGUGGGGUGGCUGUGCUGUCCCUUCUGCAGGUGAGAGGCGUGGUGUCGCCUGUUGGACUUGCUGUUGAGCCUGGCUUGCAAACCUGUAGUGAAACAGCUCAUGUCUGUGUGCACAUGCCCCUGUGUGUCUGCUGUCAUUAACAUUGUGUGUCCAGUUGGUAAAGUGACAAAUAAAGGUGUUUUAAAACGUG